AGUGAACGCUGGCGGCGUGCUUAACACAUGCAAGUCGAACGAGAACGGAUUAUAGCUUGCCAUAAUUGUCAGCUAAGUGGCGCACGGGUGAGUAAUGUAUAGGUAAUAUGCCUCUUACUAAGGGAUAACAAAUGGAAACGCUUGCUAAUACCUUAUACUCCUUAUUAACAGAAGUUAAUAAGGGAAAGAUUUAUUGGUAAGAGAUUAGCCUGUAUUGUAUCAGUUAGUUGGUGGGGUAAUGGCUUACCAAGACUAUGACACAUAACUGGUUUGAGAGGAUGAUCAGUCACACUGGAACUGAGACACGGUCCAGACUCCUACGGGAGGCAGCAGUGGGGAAUAUUGCACAAUGGACGGAAGUCUGAUGCAGCAACGCCGCGUGGAGGAUGACACAUUUCGGUGCGUAAACUCCUUUUAUAUGAGAAGAUAAUGACGGUAUUAUAUGAAUAAGCACCGGCUAACUCCGUGCCAGCCGCCGCAGUAA
rnacentral:rRNA from 1 species